rnacentral:tRNA from 1 species
UGGGGGUAUAGUUCAGCUGGGAGAGCGCUUGAAUGGCAUUCAAGAGGUCGCAAGUUCAAAUCUUGUCGCCUCGAU